rnacentral:rRNA from 1 species
UUUUUUUAUNNAUUCAAUAGCGGAGGAAAAGAAACCAACAGGGAUUCCCCUAGUAACGGCGAGUGAAGCGGGAACAGCUCAAAUUUGAAAUCUGGCCCUUGGGUCCGAGUUGUAAUUUGCAGAGGAUGCUUUUGGUGCGGUGCCUUCCGAGUUCCCUGGAACGGGACGCCUUAGAGGGUGAGAGCCCCGUACGGUUGGACACCAAGCCUAUGUAAAGCUCCUUCGACGAGUCGAGUAGUUUGGGAAUGCUGCUCAAAAUGGGAGGUAUAUUUCUUCUAAAGCUAAAUAUUGGCCAGAGACCGAUAGCGCACAAGUAGAGUGAUCGAAAGAUGAAAAGCACUUUGAAAAGAGGGUUAAAUAGCACGUGAAAUUGUUGAAAGGGAAGGAUUUAUGACCAGACUUUUUCUAGGGGGAUCAUCCGGUGUUCUCACCGGUGCACUUCCCCUAGUUGAGGCCAGCAUCGGUUUCUGUCGGGGGAUAAAAGCUUUAGGAAUGUGGCUCCCUCCGGGGAGUGUUAUAGCCUGUUGCAUAAUACCCUGACGGGGACCGAGGUCCGCGCAUUGCAAGGAUGCUGGCGUAAUGGUUAUUAAUCACCCGUCUUGAAACACGGACCAAGGAGUCGAACAUUUGUGCGAGUGUUUGGGUGUUAAACCCUCACGCGUAAUGAAAGUGAACGGAGGUGAGAGCCUUUCGGGGUGCAUCAUCGACCGAUCCUGAUGUCUUCGGAUGGAUUUGAGUAAGAGCAUUAAUGUUCGGACCCGAAAGAUGGUGAACUAUGCGUGGAUAGGGUGAAGCCAGAGGAAACUCUGGUGGAGGCUCGCAGCGGUUCUGACGUGCAAAUCGAUCGUCAAAUCUGCGCAUGGGGGCGAAAGACUAAUCGAACCAUCUAGUAGCUGGUACGCAGAAUUUCUCUCCAGAGAA